rnacentral:rRNA from 1 species
UACAGAGGUCCCAAGCGUUGUUCGGAUUCACUGGGCGUAAAGGGUGCGUAGGUGGUGAGGUAAGUCGGACGUGAAAUCCCUCAGCUUAACUGGGGAACUGCGUCUGAUACUGGAUGGCUUGGAUUUGGGAGAGGGAUGCGGAAUUCCAGGUGUAGCGGUGAAAUGCGUAGAUAUCUGGAGGAACACCGGUGGCGAAGGCGGCAUCCUGGACCAACAUUGACGCUGAGGAGCGAAAGCCAGGGGAGCAAACGGG